GCAAGUCGAGCGAGAAUUUAUUUAAUGGGACUUCGGUUGAAGCUAAAUAAAGGAAAGCGGCGGACGGGUGAGUAACGCGUGGGCAACCUGCCCUAUACAAAGGGAUAGCCACUGGAAACGGUGAUUAAUACCUUAUAAGACUACAUUGACACAUGUUAAAGUAGUCAAAGCUCCGGCGGUAUAGGAUGGGCCGCGUUUGAUUAGCUAGUUGGUGAGGUAACGGCUCACCAAGGCGACGAUCAAUAGCCGACCUGAGAGGGUGAGC
rnacentral:rRNA from 1 species